UACGGAAGGCAGCAGUGGGGAAUAUUGCACAAUGGGCGCAAGCCUGAUGCAGCCAUGCCGCGUGUAUGAAAAAGGCCUUCGGGUUGUAAAGUACUUUCAGUCGUGAGGAAGGUGUUAAGGUUAAUAACCUUAGCAAUUGACGUUAGCGACAGAAGAAGCACCGGCUAACUCCGUGCCAGCAGCCGCGGUAAUACGGAGGGUGCGAGCGUUAAUCGGAAUUACUGGGCGUAAAGGGCACGCAGGCGGUUAAUUAAGUUGGAUGUGAAAUCCCCGGGCUUAACCUGGGAAUGGCAUUCAAGACUGGUUAGCUAGAGUCUUGUAGAGGGGGUUAGAAUUCCAUGUGUAGCGGUGAAAUGCGUAGAGAUGUGGAGGAAUACCGGUGGCGAAGGCGGCCCCUGGGACAAAGACUGACGCUCAUGUGCGAAAGCGUGGGGAGCAAACAGGGAUUAGAUACC
rnacentral:rRNA from 1 species